rnacentral:rRNA from 1 species
AGAGUUUGAUCCUGGCUCAGGAUGAACGCUGGCGGCGUGCCUAACACAUGCAAGUCUAACGGAGUUAUGAUGAAACCUAGUGAUUCAUAACUCAGUGGCGGACGGGUGAGUAACGUGUGGGUAACCUGCCGUAUACAGGGGGAUAACACUUAGAAAUAGGUGCUAAAACCGCAUAAGCGCACAGGAUCGCAUGAUCCGGUGUGAAAAACUCCGGUGGUAUACGAUGGACCCGCAUCUGAUUAGCUAGUUGGUGAGGUAACGGCCCACCAAGGCGACGAUCAGUAGCCGGCCUGAGAGGGUGAACGGCCACAUUGGGACUGAGACACGGCCCAAACUCCUACGGGAGGCAGCAGUGGGGAAUAUUGCACAAUGGGGGAAACCCUGAUGCAGCAACGCCGCGUGAGUGAAGAAGUAUUUCGGUAUGUAAAGCUCUAUCAGCAGGGAAGAAAAUGACGGUACCUGACUAAGAAGCCCCGGCUAACUACGUGCCAGCAGCCGCGGUAAUACGUAGGGGGCAAGCGUUAUCCGGAUUUACUGGGUGUAAAGGGAGCGUAGACGGUUAAGCAAGUCUGAAGUGAAAUGCCGGGGCUCAACCCCGGAACUGCUUUGGAAACUGUUAAACUGGAGUGCAGGAGAGGUAAGUGGAAUUCCUAGUGUAGCGGUGAAAUGCGUAGAUAUUAGGAGGAACACCAGUGGCGAAGGCGGCUUACUGGACUGUAACUGACGUUGAGGCUCGAAAGCGUGGGGAGCAAACAGGAUUAGAUACCCUGGUAGUCCACGCCGUAAACGAUGAUUACUAG